rnacentral:rRNA from 1 species
UACGUAGGUGGCAAGCGUUAUCCGGAUUUAUUGGGCGUAAAGGGAACGCAGGCGGUCUUUUAAGUCUGAUGUGAAAGCCUUCGGCUUAACCCGAGUAGUGCAUUGGAAACUGGGAGACUUGAGUGCAGAAGAGGAGAGUGGAACUCCAUGUGUAGCGGUGAGAUGCGUAGAUAUAUGGAAGAACACCAGUGGCGAAAGCGGCUCUCUGGUCUGUAACUGACGCUGAGGUUCGAAAGCGUGGGUAGCAAACAGG